UACGAAGGGUGCAAGCGUUAAUCGGAAUUACUGGGCGUAAAGCGUGCGUAGGCGGUUUGUUAAGUCUGCUGUGAAAUCCCCGGGCUCAACCUGGGAAUGGCAGUGGAUACUGGCAAGCUAGAGUGUGUCAGAGGAGCGCGGAAUUCCCGGUGUAGUGGUGGAAUGCGUAGAUAUCGGGAGGAACACCAGUGGCGAAGGCGGCUUCCUGGACCAGAGCUGACACUGAGGCGCGAAAGCGUGGGGAGCAAACAGG
rnacentral:rRNA from 1 species